AAGUCCCGCGGACGCUCCAUGAUGAGUGGCACCUAAGCUGUCCGGUUCUUCGGGUUUUCCCAGCGCAGAGCCCGGUAUAUACUGCAGGCACUCCAUCAAUACUUGUUGGGUAAAUAGUCAGAAAGACGAUCCAGAGGGUACUAGAAACUCCCAAGGGACUUACCUGCCUUGUGCAACGGAAUUCCCCGCACGCCCAGAGCCCAGCAGAGAGGAGGCACUCCAUACACGCCUUCCAACCACCAACUGCUGAAGGAGGCUCAGGUUAAGUCAUUCUCUUCAGGCUCCAGGACAAGCGGGCCCGGUUUGUAGGUUACAGCCUUAUCUGGGGACCCUCGUUUUCCACCCCAGCUACACGUCUGUGAACAAUCGCCUCUCUCCGGCCCCUGAAAGGAGAGCGAGCGCCCCAUUUCUGCUGAAUGCACACGUCUCAGUUCAUCCAAGGCUGGCGGGCUUUUGAUGGCCACAAUGCGAGUUACGCCCAAAGAGUGUCUCUUUGGUCAGAUCGACAACGCUUGGCUUCACGUUUGCAAGUUAAACGGGCAGAAACCCGGCUGAAACUCCCACGCCAGACGCCGGGGACGCUUCCCUCCGCCCAGUAGCUGCUUUCUUCCAGGCCCUGAAAAUGUGACUCCUUCAUAAAAUCAAAAUUUAUGAUUAUUCAAAUGUUGGGGACUGUGAAAAGAGAGGAAGAAAGAGAGAAAAUUAAUAUUGCAGCUGUUCUUCUGAUUAAUGAGAGAUAAUUGCUCAUGAAAAGUCACCCCUGUGGCAUUUUGUUGUCUCCUGGAUCUUUGUUCUUUUCCACUAUUAUUGAGGACUUUCUUGAAGACUAAGCGGUUCUUUUCAAUUUUUGGGUAUUCAGAAAGGGUUGCCUGGUUACAGAGAAUGGGGAAAUCUCGGGCUAUAUCGGGUAAGAUGUGCCACAGACAGCAAUAUCACAAUGCCACUCGGAGAAAAGGAUGGAUACAAGUUAACGAUGCGCUUUCAAUAAAACAUUCAUAGACUUGUUCACGCUUUGAUAAUGACCUCAUUAAAGGGAGCUGGGGGCAAGUAAGUCCUGUCUCCUGUUUGUGUUCGGCUAACAAAACCCAGCUUUGAGAUCAUUCAUCGCUUUGGAAACUAAUAUGAAAUCAAUGUAAGAGGAGCAAAUAAAUCCGAGGCCGGCCCCGCCGACUCCUGGGCUGUCCCGCCCUGCUCUCGGCCUCCGUUUGGGGCAGAAGAACCGUGUAGGCAAAUGCUAAAACUGAGAGGAAAAAGGAGGACUGGGGAUGGGGGGGGGUUACUUUGGAGGGGAUGCAGAGGGAAAGACAAUGUGGGAGUUACGGAUGGAAAAACAGCUAAGCACAUCAGUAGGUCAGAACUCUAGGGCCUGUGGAAUAAGCAACGGCUAAGUCCACAUUCUUUGCUUUUCCUGACUUUGCCCAUGAAAGGAAAUAGAAAGAGUGGGAAGCAAGAGGGGAAUGUGAGGUCCAGGUCAGGUGUGACCCUGGAUGGGGGAAGUACUGGAACACUUCUUGAAAGCUACAACCAAGAAUUGAAAUCUCAAGGUUGAGCUAGGAGGAAACUGCUCCUCCAGGCUCAAGUUGGAGGAUCCAGGGGCAAGAAGACGGCACCUCUAAACUGCUUUGAUUUUUUUUCUCAUUUGAAGGUAGGGGUGGGGUACCCUGACUGGUGUGUGUUAGGGGGAGAGGAGGGGACAGUUUUGUUACCUUCAUAUCUGUGACAUUGUCUUGCACUCAAGGAAGACAAAGCCAUCCUCUGUCAUCCCAGCAAAAGAGAGGAAAUCAAAGGGUCCCCCCUCCCCUUAAAAGAACUAAUUUUCUCCUUGAAUUAUGAAAGUAAUGGCUUAGGUAACAGCCUGUACUCUGUACCCGACUGCUUAAUACCGAAUAAAUCCUUCCACGUGGCUCCCCGAGUCGUGGCAAUUAGAGCUCA